rnacentral:rRNA from 1 species
AACGCGAAGAACCUUACCUGGGCUUGAACGUGCAGUGACAGCCGGUGAAAGCCGGUCUCCCUUCGGGGCAUUGUGCGAGGUGAUGCACGGCUGUCGUCAGCUCGUGCCGUGAGGUGUUGGGUUAAGUCCCGCAACGAGCGCAACCCUUGUCGCUAGUUGUAUUUCUCUAGCGAGACUGCCCGUAGCAAACGGGAGGAAGGCGGGGAUGACGUCAAGUCAGCGUGUCCCUUACGUCCAGGGCUACACACACGCUACAAUGGCCGGUACAACGGGUCGCGACACGGCGACGUGAAGCUAAUCCCUGAAAGCCGGCCCCAGUUCAGAUUGCAGGCUGAAACCCGCCUGCAUGAAGGCGGAGUUGCUAGUAACCGUGGGUCAGCAUACCGCGGUGAAUACGUUCCCGGGCCUUGUACACACCG